GCGGUCGUAGCUCAGUUGGUAGAGCCCCUGGUUGUGGUCCAGGUUGUCGCGGGUUCGAGCCCCGUCGAUCGCCCCA
rnacentral:tRNA from 1 species